CUCAAAUAUCCAGGGAGCCUCUGCAUGUGUGCAUCUGUAUCUCAGAUCAAUUAUAGUUGAGUUAAUUCCUGACUGUUUCAUCUCCCAGGGAUGCAGCCUCCUCUUAAAGAAGUUGGGGGUGGUAGCCCAAUCAGUGAUGUCACUGACAGAUGCAUCCUGUGGGGAUAAAAUGUCACAAAAUUCAUUUCUUUGCUCAUGCUCACAGAGGGCCUGCUCUGGAAUAUUCCACAUCUGCUCUCACUCUGCCAUGGGCUCCUGGACUCUCUGCUGUGUGUCCCUUUGUAUCGUGGUAGCGAAGCACACAGAUGCUGGAGUUAUCCAGUCACCCCGGCAUAAGGUGACAGAGAUGGGAAAAGAAGUGACUCUGAGAUGCGAACCAAUUUCAGGCCAUACCUACCUCUUCUGGUACAGACAGACCAUGAUGCGGGGACUGGAGUUCCUGAUUUACUUUAACAACAAGGAUCCGAUAGAUGAUUCAGGGAUGCCCAAGGAUCGAUUCUCAGCUAAGAUGCCUAACGCAUCAUUCUCCACUCUGAAGAUCCAGCCCUCAGAACCCAGGGACUCGGCUGUGUACUUCUGUGCCAGCAGUUUAGCCACAGCGCUGCAGAAUCACCCCUUUCCUGUGCAGAAACCCUGGUGUUUCCCCUUCUCCUUCUACCUCCAAGCAGUCCUGGGCAAAGUCUUUUCUGUUCCUCUCUCCCCUAAGACAAAAGUGGUUUUGGGGUGUGACAAAGACAGAAAAUGAGAAGGUAUCGACAUAAGAAACCUUAGGUUGGUUUGAGGAUUACAAAAUGGGUUUUUAGGGUUCCUCAAAAAUUCUCUCUGCUCAAAACACAUAGGAGUAAGAUAAACCUUGGCUACCCACACUGGAGAUUUCCCUGCCUUCCUGCAUUUGCCAUCCCAUGAGAAUGGUGGGAGCUCCUGAGAAAGGCUGCAUUUUCUGAACUAUGAGGCCCUCUUCCUUCUCUCCUAAGUUGCAAACAGAAAUUUCCCUCACACAUUUUCUAGAUUGUAAAAGAAAGUUCGUUACUAUGAUUGUGGACAUUCCUUUAUAAUGCCAAUUUCAAAUUUACAUUUACUUAGGAAUUUUUCACUACUCCUAAAGAGUGUCUCAAAUGUGGCUAGAGCAAGCAGGUUGGUACAUUAGACGUAAGUUAUCUGGCCUGGAAUCUAAGGAUCCAUUUGUCUCUAUUCUGCAUAAGAAGAACCAGGUGCUGGAUAAAGGCUGUGCACAGUCAGAAAACACUAACGAGGCCUCCUGGUGAGGACUCACACUGGGGUGUCUAAAAGCAGACAAGCAUGUCCAGUCUUCUGUUGUCCUGUUUCCUUUCUGCUUAUAUGUCCUUAACACACAAAUUUACAUUUUUCUUAUUUAUAUGAAAAGUUUCUAUACAAUACCUGCAAUCCAUUCUGAGUGGUUAUAAUUUCUCUUUGAUAUUCAUAUUUAAUAUUGAUUCCUUCUAAAUCACUAUCAUGGUAUCAUUGACAAUUGAGGCAACAGAUCCCUGUAUUUUGAGUUCCCAAGGCAACUGAGGUUUUUUGGAGUUCUGCUGUAAGCCAAAUUCCACUUCAUCAUUCUCCUAUUUUUUUUUUUUUUUUUUUUACGUACAGGGGUCCUGACACUCAAGAUGGAAAUAGUGCAGAAUUCCUCCUGGGUGCUUCCAGAUUAUUUUCCUUCCUCCUUUUCUAAAGCCCAGCUGCAUUAUAGACUUCCUUUAGCCUGAUUUGAAAUUCAUUCCAUGUGAUCAUGCAUCUGUCUCUACCUGUAUUUUGUAUCUGGCUUUUGCCUCUCACCCAUCAGUCCCAUGGCUACUAGAAGGUAUUCAAUUUCUAUUGACACAAAUUACCAUUAACUUGCUGGCUUACAAUAACUAAAAGCAAUUAUCUUACAGUUCUGCAGGUCAGAAGUCCAAAACCAGGCUAAAAUCCAGGUGUUGGCAGGACUGCAUUCCUUCCCGAGGCUCUAGGGGAGAACUGUUUUUCUCUCCUUUUCAACUUCUAGAGGCCACCAGCAUUCCUUGGCUCAUGGCCCCAUUCAAUCUUCAAAGCCAACAGGGACUGGCUGAGCCUUUGCUUGCUCUGCAUCACUCUGAGGCUCACUCUUCAUUCUCCCUCUUCCACAUUUUAGGACCCUUGUGAUUACAUUGGGCCCACCUGGAAAAUCCAGGACAUGCUCCCUGUAUUAAGGCCAGCUGAUUAGCAAGCUUCAUUCCAUUUGGAACAUUCCUUUCUCCCCUUGCCACAAAAUUUAACACAUUCCCAGUUUCUGGGAAUUAGACAUGGACAUCUUUGAGAGGUUGUCAUGCUGCCUGCCAUGCUUGGAACGUGGUUACAGGGAGUGGUAAGCAAUUAAAUUUUUGAAGACAGAAUUAUGACCACAGUUUUAUAUCCUGGGUACAACAGACCCUGCAAAAGGAUAGAACCCGCAGGGAAACAGGCCCCUCUGGUAACACAAGCUAGUCUGCAAACUAUUGCCCUUUAACAUUGGCAAGUACUUUUGAAUGCAGUGAACUCAGAAGCAUACCUCAGUGCCAAGAGUCAAAAUAUGCCCUUUUAUGGCAAGUAACUGAAUUGACCAACUCAAAAAACAAAUCUUUCUCUCAGCUUUCCAUAAUCCCUGAGAGGAAGUAGGUCUGCAGAAGUGGAGUUAUGGGGAAAAGGCCAGGUGUUAAUGAUGAAAAAACAUUGAACUUUUCUAGGGGUAGUAAUAAGAUUUAAUUCAAGAAUAGAACAUUUUAGCUGCAAGUCUUCAAGAAUAAGACAAUCUUAUCCUCUGUUUUAUUGUGGGAAUAGAGAAUGUGAGAGGUUCCAUUCCAUGGGCCUCGGGAAUUCAAUACGGUUCAAGGAUAAAUAAACCCAGGUUUUUCACUGCAGGGAAGAGCUUCAAAUAUAAUCAGUUCUCAGGGCAUCAGCUCAGCUCCUGUAUCCCUAACAAUGCAGUUGACAUGCAUCUUCUCAGAUGCCUACUCCUAACUCACUGAUGGAUAAUUUAAGUACACAUAAAGGAGUAGAAGCACCAAGCCACCAGUGAGAGGAAUGAGAGAGUUUGCAGAGAAGCUGGUUUGCAAUAAGACAAAGAGUUCAUCUUUAAAUACUUGGAGUCUGAGGUGCAGAUGGAUAAAGCUGGCAGGCUCCUAUGUAAGGCAUGUUAUGGAGAAGGUGCUAUGAAUUGUUAAUAUCAAAACAAAUACCCAGGGAGCCUCUGCAUGUGUGCAUCUGUAUCUCAGAUCCAUUAUAGUUGAGUUCAGUCCUGCCUGAUUCAUCUCCCAGAGAUGCAGCCUCCUCUUAAAGAAGUUGCCGCUGGUGGCCCAUUCAGUGAUGUCACUGACAGAUGCAUCCUGUGGGGAUAAAGUGUCACAACAUUCAUCUCUUUGCUCAUGCUCACAGAGGGCCUGCUCUGG